rnacentral:lncRNA from 1 species
UGUUGCUCAUCUUAAACUAUUAAGAUUGAAAAUACAUAUUUCAAAAACAUUAGAGCACAUCCAGAAUCUUUGUAAUUCAUAUUGAAUUUUGGUACAAAUUGGAGGACAUUAUGUACUAAUGUUAGGCAAGUUGAAAGAUAAAUUAUAAUCAAUUCAUUCUGCCUAAUUUGCAAAUUCAGAUUAUCCUUUUCUUUUAUUUUUCAGAAGAUGUUCAUUAAAAUAGAAGUAUCCUUUUCUUCUUCUUUUUAUAAAUAUAUUCAACUUUCAGAUUUCAAAGGUGAUCAUGAACGACAAAUCUAAAAUUUCUUUCAAAAAUAUUUUUAGAAAAAUUCUUAUGUAAUUUUUCAAACAUUCAAGCAUUGGAACCGAUUUAAUAAGAAAUUUUGUUUUUGAUCAAGAGAGUACAAGAGAAAUCCAAAAUAUCAUUGAUGAGUAUAGAAUACAAGUAAAAACAAUUUUCAUUAGGCUUUG